rnacentral:rRNA from 1 species
AUUGAACGCUGGCGGCAGGCCUAACACAUGCAAGUCGAACGAGUGGCGGACGGGUGAGGAAUAUCUCGGAAACUACCUUAUCGAGGGGGAUAACUACUGGAAACGUUCGCUAAUACCGCAUACCAUCGGAUGAGCCGAGGUGGGAUUAGCUAGUGGGGGGGGUAACGGCUCAACUAGGCGACGAUCCGUAGCUGGUCUGAGAGGAUGAUCAGCCACACUGGAACUGAGACACGGUCCAGACUCCUACGGGAGGCAGCAGUGGGGAAUAUUGCACAAUGGGCGCAAGCCUGAUCCAGCCAUGCCGCGUGUGUGAAGAAGGCCUUCGGGUUGUAAAGCCCUUUUAGUGGGGAAGCGGUACCCAAAGAAGAAGCACCGGCUAACUCCGUGCCAGCAGCCGCGGUAAUAC